rnacentral:rRNA from 1 species
UAUUUUAGAGCUAAAAUCAAUUUAUUAAUCUCUAUAAAUUUACUAUCAAAUCCAAUUUCAUUAAAUUUUUCAUAUUUAAAUCCACAUAAAUAAAUUUUAUUGUAACUCAUUUAUACUUAAAAAUAAACUACACCUUGAUUUGAUAUUAAUUUUAUUAUAAAUUAUAGAAAAUUAUUUAUUCUUUUAAAAUAUUCUAAUAACAACGAUAUAUAAAUUGAAUUACAAUUUUAAGUAAGGUACAUCGGGGAUUAUCGAUUAAAAAACAAGUUCCUCUGAAUAGACUAAAAUACCGCCAAAUUUUUUAAGUUUCAAGAAUAUAACUAAUACUACUCAAAUAAAUUAAUUUAUACUUUAA